GAACUGGACCAAGGGAAGAGGACACAGAAGGUAAAAGGAAGCCAGACCAGCAUGUUCUCCCACUCUAGUCCUCCUACCAAGAGGCUUUGAUAAGCAAUCACAAUUGUCCCCAGUGACAUGAAAGAAAAAGUGAAGCAUCCUGUAGGGAUGCAUAGCAUGACAUCUACAUAGACUUGGGUCAUGGAAGGAAACUGUCACCACAUACAAGUUCAAGGGAAAUGUUCAGCCUCCAGGUGUGGAGCAUGUACAGGAAUGAAGCUGCUCACCCAGGACUUAUGCUUUGCACCUUUGUGCUCCUCACAUAUGGCCAUGUGCCCGUCCCCCCGUCCCCCACCCCACCAAUGGCAUCUGUGCAGAGUGAUAUGCGCCACUUCCAGGCUGGAUAUUUACACUGUGGUUACCUUCUGUCCCUUUUCUCUGCAUCAGCCACUGAAUGAAGCUCUGCCCAGGCCUUAGGAAAAGGUGAAACCCCAACUGGCAGGGGCCCCAGUUCACCAUAUCCAGGAAGGUGUCCUUGAACCAGAAAUACCCACGUUGUACUCCGACAUGAACAAGAAAUAGAUUUCUAUUAUAUUAAGCAACAGAAAAUUUCAGAUAUAUUAGUUCUCGCAGCAGGAAGGAUGUAUUGAUAAUGGCAACAUGGAUGGAGCUCAAAACAUAACAUCUAAUGAAAAAAGAGACUUACAUAAAAAAUUAUAGACUAUAUUAUUACAUUCAAAUGAAGUUCAAGAACAAGCAAAAGUUGUGGAAAAAUAUCAGAAAACUUGCUUCCACUGGAGGGGUAGGACGGGAUUUGACUGGGAAGAGGCCUAGGGGAACAUGCUGGAAUGAUAUUAGUGUUCUAUUUCUUGAUGGAGGUUUGGGUUCCACAGGUGUAUGUAUUUGCAAAAGUUAGCAAAUGUAGAGUUAAGGUUUGUGUUCUUCCUUGUGCAAUACAUUUUACACCAAAGGGAAGGCUGUAAACAAAUAUUGAACUGUAGUUAAUCAUAUGUAUGGAGAAAAACUUAAGGAAAAGACUUAUGAAUGCCUCAAGUUUAUUUUAAAAAGCAUUGAAAAUAAGAUUAAACAUGUAUUUAUGGAUAAACUACUGAAACUGAGAGAUAUUAACAGUAAAUAGUCAAAAUUUUCACCGUAAUAAUGAAAUUGAAAGGGAUUUGAACCCAGGUCUGUUUCACUGUAAAUCCUUGCUCCUGUGCUCUCUCAUGUUUAUUGGAAUUCAUGGGUAGAAAAUUUAAAUGCUCUGAAUCACUAUGAGAAGAAAGAUUCAGGAAAAAAAAAAUGAAAGGCUAGAUUUCCAAAGAUAAGCCAGGUAAAUAUCAUGGAGAGUUGCAACAAUGUACUGCUAAUUAACUCUAAUACUUAGAGCUAAUGUCGAGUUUUCUGAGGGUUGUGACAUUCAUACAUGACUAAUUAACCUACACAGCAAAUCCAUUUCACUAGCUGCCAUGACACAGCCAAUCAAGACUAGCUCACUGUUUGCUCAUUUGGAAAAUGAUGAGGAUUCCCAUUUAGACUUAAUUACACUACAAAGAUUGACAAUUAUCUUCUCUAUAGAAGCAUCAGAUGUUUCAAUAUUAUACUGAACAUGUGCCUAUAAUUAUGUCCAUAAUUUGUCUAGCAGAAAAUGUAACCCAGUCAUUACUGAGAUCUUAUGCCUGUAAUUAGAUAUCGAAAAAAAAUACCAAAUGGGAAAAGUGGGUUGUUGGGAUGUUAGGACCAUUACAAUGUGAGAAUCUGUAUGAAGCUAUUAGUGGGAACUCAGUAGCAACCAACAUCUCUUGGAUUGCUGCCCUCUAUUAAAAAUAAUUACGAAGUGUGAGAGAGGGGAAAAUGAUGGCAGAGUAAAACCAUAGUACAAUCGCUUUUCCAAAACUUGACUGCAGUCAUUAAAAAUCCCAUAGGCACCUCAAAUUCAACACAUUUGAAACCGACUCAUUAGCCACCUUUGCCCCACUAUAGCUACUCCUUUUCCUGUGUUUGCUGUCUUAGACGAUUGCAAAGCAUUGUAGAGUCAUCUGCAACAAUUGUUCUCUCACUCCUUUCUCCUAAUCAAACCUCCGUGAUUCUGAUUACUAAUUUUUUCCAAGUGUGUUGCUCCUCUCUAUGCUGUGACUCUUCCAUUGUCUGCCUUCAUCAUCCUUGUAUGGUCAAUUUCAAGAGGACGUAUAAGAACGGUGCUGCAUCUGAAUGUUCACUCAUAAGUGGGAGUUGAACAAUGAGAACACAUGGACACAGGGAGGGGAACAUCACACACUGGGGCCAAGCAGAGGGAGAGCAUUAGGACAAAUACCUAAUGCAUGUGGGGCUUAAAACCUAGAUGACGGGUUGAUGGGUACAGCAAACCACUAUGGCACAUGUAUACCUAUCUAACAAGCCUGCAUGUUCUGCACGUGUAUUCCAGAACUUAAAGUAUAAUAAUAAUAAAAGAAGAAUGGUGCCGCUUUCCUCAAAUGUCUCCACCGUGUCACUUAUCUUCUGAAUUUCUCCCAGUAUGAUCAUCUCUAAUCACAAAUCUCACUAUGCCACUCUGCCAUUCAGAAGAGUUGAGUGUGUCCACCUCUUUCCUAACAGCAUUUGGCAGAACACAGAAAGUAUGUUUUGUUUUUCAUUGAAUUUUGUGCCAGCUUCACGCUGGCCUGCCCCAGUCUGUAAUUUAGGCUAGCUCCAUUAUAUGGUUUACUAAUUAUGUAAUGUGAUAUGCUCAUUAUUUCAGUUAUCUCUUGCAGGACAACUGGCUACCCCAAAAUUUAAUAGCUAAAAGCAAUCAUUUUUAUUUUGCUAAUGAUUUUUUGGGGUAAGGAAUGUAGAAAUGGCUCCAAAGGGUGGUCGUUUCUGAUCGAUAUUGCAUCAGCUGGGGUGGAAGAAUCUUCUUCAAAAUAGCUUCUUUACUCACAUCUGGUGCCUUAGGGCUUCUUGACCUCUCUCUCUCUUCAUGUGGCUUCUCAUCCUCCAGGCUUUCUUCACUUGGCUUACCUUCUUGCAGUAAGGGUAUCUAAAAGAAGUCUCACUUUUUACACGGAAGCUAGAUUCCAAGAGGCAGGCAGUAGAAACUGCCCAGCUAGCUAAAGGCUAUAACAGAAAAAGGCAUGGCAACACUUCUACCAUAGUCUAUUAGUGAAGGCAGUUCCCAAGACCCUCAGAUUUAAGAGCACAGAGAAAUAGAUCCCAAUUCUAGAUGGGAAAAUGUCCAGGUCACGUUGAAGAAGAGCACAUAGGGCAAGAGACACUGUUGCACCCGUAUUUGCAAAAGUAAAUCUAUAUGCAUGCUAUUUCAUUCUUCUAAAAUACUGAGUGGCUGUAGCUCUCAACGCUAAUCGCUCUGUCUAUCCUACUCAAAUGCACUUCGGAGCAAUUGCUCAACUUUGCACAUUCUCUAUGCAACCUCUCUCCAAAAUGCCCCUACAAUACUUAGUGUAAUCUCUUUUAUGUUAGAGUGGAACACCAUUGUCUAUUUACUGACAUAUUUAUCUCUCCCGCCAGAAUAUAAGGAUAAGCUCAUGUCUUAUUUACUUUAGAAUACCUUUUGUGUAACACAGAUGCUGGUAUAUAGUAGAUAUUAAAUACAUGUUCUGUUGAUCACAAGACUAAUAAAAGGAAUAAAUAAAUUGUCCUAUUCGUACAUGUAUUAUCUAUGCCUGGUGUACUUCCUGGAACAAGUUUAGUACCUGGUGAUUAUCAGCUUCCAAGAUGGCCCUCAAAAGUCUCCACCUCCUGAAUUCACACUCUUUGUAGUUCCUUCCUGCAUUGUGCCAGAGUUGGUCAAUGUGACCAACAGGAUAUAGUAGAAGGGAUGGUAUUAUGCUAUAAAAGACAUUCAAUUUUUAUCUCUUUCUCUCUCAUAAUUCACCCUGAGAGAAACCAGCUGCCUUGUUGCAAGCAGUCCUACGGAGAGGCCCAUAUAGUGAGAAACUGAGGCCUUCUGCCAACAGCCAGAGGAGGGAGCUUGCAACCAGACCCUCCAGCCCCAGCUAAGCUUCAGGUGACUGUCCAGGCAACGGCUUGAGUAAAACCUCACAAGACGUCCAGAG
ensembl:lincRNA